AGAGUUUGAUCCUGGCUCAGGAUGAACGUUGGCGGCGUGCCUAAUACAUGCAAGUCGAACGGAGAUUGUAGCAAUACGGUCUCAGUGGCGAACGGGUGAGUAACGCGUUGGUGACCUGCCCCGAAGUGUGGAAUAACAGAUCGAAAAAGCUGCUAAUACCGCAUAAUAUCCAGGAGAUUAGAUGCUUCUGGAUUAAAGGAUUUAUCCGCUUCGGGAGGGGCCUGCGUCCCAUCAGCUAGUUGGUAAGGUAAAGGCUUACCAAGGCGAUGACGGGUAGGGGACCUGAGAGGGUGGCCCCCCACAAUGGAACUGAAACACGGUCCAUACACCUACGGGUGGCAGCAGUAGGGAAUAUUAGUAAUGGGCGAAAGCCUGAACUAGCAACGCCGCGUGUGCGAAGAAGGCCUUCGGGUUGUAAAGCACUUUUUGAGAGGAUGAGGAAGGACGGUACUCUCAGAAUAAGUCUCGGCUAACUACGUGCCAGCAGCCGCGGUAACACGUAGGAGGUGAACGUUAUCCGGAUUUACUGGGCGUAAAGCGCGUGUAGGUGGUUUGGUAAGUAGGGCGUGAAAGCUCCUGGCUCAACUGGGAGAGGCCGUUCUAAACUGCCGAACUAGAGGAUGGUAGAGGGAGGUGGAAUUCCGGGUGUAGCGGUGGAAUGCGCAGAUAUCCGGAGGAACACCAGUGGCGAAAGCGGCCUCCUGGACCAUUCCUGACACUCAGACGCGAAAGCUAGGGUAGCAAACGGGAUUAGAGACCCCGGUAGUCCUAGCCCUAAACGAUGUAGACUAGGCGUCGGUGGUUUAAACGCCAUCGGUGUCCAAGCUAACGCAAUAAGUUUACCGCCUGGGGACUACGGCCGCAAGGUUAAUUCUCAAAGGAAUUGACGG
rnacentral:rRNA from 1 species